ACAACUUUCAACAACGGUCUCUUGGCUCUCGCAUCGAUGAAGAACGCAGCGAAAUGCGAUAAGUAAUGUGAAUUGCAGAAUUCAGUGAAUCAUCGAAUCUUUGAACGCACCUUGCGCCCCUUGGUAUUCCGAGGGGCACGCCUGUUUGAGUGUCGUGA
rnacentral:rRNA from 1 species